rnacentral:rRNA from 1 species
AGAGUUUGAUCCUGGCUCAGGACGAACGCUGGCGGUGUGCUUAACACAUGCAAGUCGAACGGUAAGGCCCUUUCGGGGGUACACGAGUGGCGAACGGGUGAGUAACACGUGAGUAACCUGCCCUCAUCUCUGGGAUAACAGUCGGAAACGGUUGCUAAUACUGGAUAUGAGCUUGCAAGGCAUCUUGUGGGUUGGAAAGAUAUUUUUUGGUUGGGGAUGGACUCGCGGCCUAUCAGCUUGUUGGUGAGGUAGUGGCUCACCAAGGCUUCGACGGGUAGCCGGCCUGAGAGGGCGACCGGCCACAUUGGGACUGAGAUACGGCCCAAACUCCUACGGGAGGCAGCAGUGGGGAAUAUUGCACAAUGGACGGAAGUCUGAUGCAGCAACGCCGCGUGCGGGAUGACGGCCUUCGGGUUGUAAACCGCUUUCAAUUGUGACGAAGCUUUUUUGUGACGGUAGCAGUAGAAGAAGCACCGGCUAACUACGUGCCAGCAGCCGCGGUGAUACGUAGGGUGCGAGCGUUGUCCGGAUUUAUUGGGCGUAAAGAGCUUGUAGGCGGUUUGUCGCGUCGGGAGUGAAAACUUGGGGCUUAACCCUGAGCUUGCUUUCGAUACGGGCUGACUUGAGGGAGGUAGGGGAGAAUGGAAUUCCUGGUGGAGCGGUGGAAUGCGCAGAUAUCAGGAGGAACACCGGUGGCGAAGGCGGUUCUCUGGACCUUUCCUGACGCUGAGAAGCGAAAGCGUGGGGAGCGAACAGGCUUAGAUACCCUGGUAGUCCACGCCGUAAACGGUGGGUACUAGGUGUGGGGGACAUUCCACGUUCUCCGUGCCGUAGCUAACGCAUUAAGUACCCCGCCUGGGGAGUACGGCCGCAAGGCUAAAACUCAAAGGAAUUGACGGGGCCCCGCACAAGCGGCGGAGCAUGCGGAUUAAUUCGAUGCAACGCGAAGAACCUUACCA